GUUUGAUCAUGGCUCAGAACGAACGCUGGCGGCACGCCUAACACAUGCAAGUCGAGCGCACUUAUGAUCUUCGGAUUAUAGGCGAGCGGCGGACGGGUUAGUAACGCGUGGGAACGUACCCUUUACUAAGGAAUAGCCUUUGGAAACGAAGAGUAAUACCUUAUACGCCCUUCGGGGGAAAGAUUUAUCGGUAAAGGAUCGGCCCGCGUAAGAUCAGAUAGUUGGUGGGGUAAUGGCCUACCAAGUCUACGAUCUUUAGCUGGUUUGAGAGGAUGAUCAGCAACACUGGGACUGAGACACGGCCCAGACUCCUACGGGAGGCAGCAGUGGGGAAUCUUAGACAAUGGGCGAAAGCCUGAUCUAGCGAUGCCGCGUGAGUGAAGAAGGCCUUAGGGUCGUAAAACUCUUUCGCCAGAGAUGAUAAUGACAGUAUCUGGUAAAGAAACCCCGGCUAACUCCGUGCCAGCAGCCGCGGUAAUACGGAGGGGGUUAGCGUUGUUCGGAAUUACUGGGCGUAAAGCGCACGUAGGCGGACUGAUCAGUUAGAGGUGAAAUCCCAGGGCUCAACCCUGGAACUGCCUUUAAUACUGUCAGUCUAGAGAUCGAGAGAGGUGAGUGGAAUUCCUAGUGUAGAGGUGAAAUUCGUAGAUAUUAGGAGGAACACCAGUGGCGAAGGCGGCUCACUGGCUCGAUACUGACGCUGANGUGCGAAAGCGUGGGGAGCAAACAGGAUUAGAUACCCUGGNAGUCCACGCCGUAAACGAUGAGAGCUAGUCGUCGGGUAGCAUGCUAUUCGGUGACGCAGUUAACGCAUUAAGCUCUCCGCCUGGGGAGUACGGUCGCAAGAUUAAAACUCAAAUGAAUUGACGG
rnacentral:rRNA from 1 species